UACGAAGGGGGGCUAGCGUUGUUCGGAAUUACUGGGCGUAAAGCGCGCGCAGGCGGCUAUCCAAGUCAGUGGUGAAAGCCCGGAGCUCAACUCCGGAACUGCCAUUGAAACUGUUUAGCUUGAGGAUGAGAGAGGUGAGUGGAAUUCCCAGUGUAGAGGUGAAAUUCGUAGAUAUCGGGAGGAACACCGGUGGCGAAGGCGGCGAUCUGGGUCGAUACUGACGCUGAGGUGCGAAAGCGUGGGGAGCAAACAGG
rnacentral:rRNA from 1 species